UCCAUGGGGAUGAAGGGCUGCAGACCCACCGUGCAGCCGAGACUUCUCCAUAAACUUGUCCAAUCAAGUUUGAUUAAGCUUUAAGAACAACUUAGAAAGGAAUAAAAAGGACACCAAAGGGCAGCCCGAAAUUUCGAAGCGGGGAUAGGGGUUUGGCGGAAGGGUGAAGAAAUGGAGGCUCGGGCGAGGUUAGAGGAGUGGGCUCCAGGUCACACAAUUAACAAAGGGCCGCUCUAAGAUGUGAGAGAUGGCAGCCGAGUGGCAGCCCCAGGAUGCAGGCAUUUCCAGGCCACGGAUGGGAACACCUGAGGCCUGGCACCGAGUGUGAAUUUGAAAAAGUUAAGAGUCCAAGAGUCCAGGCCUGGGUUCUUCAAGGGCUUUCACCUUACAAAGAGAAGAGCCAGCUCCAAGUUCCCAGUAAGUCACCUGCCCAUUAACAGCAAGAGACGCAGCACCCUCUAGUGGCUGACCUCUAAACCUACAGCACCAGGCACAGGAUCAAGAGGCCCACUCAGCCACAGGACUCUGUGGCCGGCAAUCUUCGCUGCCUGCAGGUUGUAGAGAUAACCUCAGAGGGCAGACUUAACGUGAGCUCAAACACUGGCUCCACUUCUCGCUAGCUCAGUGCACAUGAGGAAAUUCGUCUCUUAAGCCUUAGUUUCUUCAUCUAUAAAAUAGAAAUGAUAAUAACACCAGUCUCACAGGGUUAUUGUAAGAAUUAAAUGAGAUUUAGAUAGAUAUGCGUGUAAGGGGCUUAGC